AUUUGAGUGUAAAAUUAAAUAAGAAAUAAACAAGACUUUGAGUAUGGUCAUGAGAAUUUAUGUUUCAUUUUACAGGUAUAUGAUUGCCUUGUUAGUUUUUUUUCUUUUCUGCAACUUCCUUGGUUGAACUAGGCAUUUUUCAGAAUUAUUUUAGUUAAAUAAUAUCUUUUGUGCAUAUUUUAUUGGAUUACCUUGAAAGGAUCAGAAUCGAAAUACUCCGCCAAGAAUUUUCAUUCAACUUUAAUGACAUCUUCUAGUAUGUUUUGCAGCCGUUCCUCCUUUGAUCAACUGUUGUACCAGUAGAGAAUAUCAAAAGAAUAUGGCAGAGUAUUCCCUAGUUCAUAUAUAUAAGUGGGCAUAAAAUAUUGUUUGUUCAUAAUUUUCUAUGGC
rnacentral:lncRNA from 1 species